UCGGGAGUUCAAGACCAGACUGACCAACAUGGUGAAACCCCAUCUUUAAAAAUAAUAAUAAUAAAUAAAUAAUUUAAAAAAGAUUGAGAAAUUGAUCUAGAUUUAAAUUAAUAACUUCUUUUUAUUGAAAGAUCCUAUUAAAAAGUGAAAUGCAAGCCACAAAGUGAGAGAAGAUAUGUGGAGCAAAUAUCAUCCAUGAAGGACUGUGUCUAAGUUUGGGAUCCCUUGAAAGCAGAGGCUGAGAAAAGGGCUGUGUGCAGAGGCUUCCGGAGAUUCUGCUAUGCUUUUACUUCACAAUUCAAAUUAACAGAAAACAAAGGAGAAAAAUAUGGUCUUACAUCACUGAUCAUCUACUUCUGGGAGGCCCUAGGUGUAAGUGUGUGUUAUCUGGCUGGACCCCAAGAAUGUGAGUCACCAUAUGGUUACAACAGGAUGAGCAUCUCUUGGAAUCUAGUCACUAAAACUGCUUCUUGAAAACUGAACAACAGCCAUGAAGCUUCAGAAAAGGCUCAUCUCCAGAGUCCCUGCUACUAAAAGGAGGACUGGUUAGACCUGGGCAAUACCAAUGUAAUCACCAAAGCCAACGUCUCCAGCAGAUCCAGAAGCUGAUUAAAGAUGGCCUGAACACUGGCAAGCCUUUGACUCUUCAUUCUAGGAUUGUGCCAGAAAAAUACCUUGGCUCCCUGAAAGGGCAGCCAUAUAAGCGUAGUGGCUUCAUCAAUUAUAUAAAUCAAUCAUUCAAUAAAACAAGUCUACCUGCCUGAAAAGGAAAAAAAUGAAUAGCAUUUGCUUUUCUGUUAAGUCUGCUCAUAUUGAUCAUUCAACUAAGUAAAAAUCUAUGUCAUUUUCACAUGAACUACAAUUUAAUAAGAUUUCCUCUUUCUAUUGAUAAGAUAUUGAUCUACUAAUCUGAAAUAUGGGAUUUUAUGUUUGUUUUUACUUACAUUUAAUGAUAUUAACUUAGGCUAUUUGAUUUAACGUGUCAAGUUCUGUUGACCCUGCUUCUAUCAUUCAGCAUGCUAAUUAGUCCUUUCAGAUUUGUGAAAUUUCUACAUCUAAUUAAAUGUAAAAUUCAAUGCAGCUAAAUUUUGGCUUAGAAAAAGGGAACAGAGGAUGUGAUUGAAUACAAUACCUUAUGUCAUAUCACCAAGAACUUUUGCUAAAUUUUUCCCAAUCCAAUAAAUAGCCUUCUUUGAUUUUCAGAUGCGAAUUGGCCUAUGUUAUCAGCCAGUCCAAAUGUCUACAUCUUGUCAUGAAGAUAUCAUAAAAGUCUUUGGUUGUAUUUUGGCAUUUUCCUCCAGUAUUCUUAAAACAUUAUGAACAGUGUUCCUAAGUCACUUCCGGAAGUCAUUAUUUCAACUGAAUAAUAAAGCUCAGUUAGCCAUGAACAUGUAUCCUGAUCAAGAACAUAUUGGGCUCCCAGCUACAGGGAGAACAGGAUCUGACACAGGACAACCAGCCUGACCACAAAAACUGCAAGAGGCGGGGGCUCCACACAGGCCUGGAGGAGCAGCGGGAGAAGAAAGACUUUUACAUCCUUAUCUCAACCACAGAGACAGACGCCCCUCACGAGUCCAUU